rnacentral:rRNA from 1 species
AUUGACCUCGGAUCAGGUAGGGAUACCCGCUGAACUUAAGCAUAUCAAUAAGCGGAGGAAAAGAAACCAACAGGGAUUGCCUCAGUAACGGCGAGUGAAGCGGCAACAGCUCAAAUUUGAAAUCUGGCCCCUUUCGGGGUCCGAGUUGUAAUUUGUAGAGAGUGCUUCGGGCGAGACAACGGUCUAAGUUCAUUGGAACAUGGCGUCAUAGAGGGUGAGAAUCCCGUAUGCGACCGUGGCUUGAGCCCAUGUGAAGCCUCUUCGACGAGUCGAGUUGUUUGGGAAUGCAGCUCAAAAUGGGUGGUAAAUUUCAUCUAAAGCUAAAUACUGGCUGGAGACCGAUAGCGCACAAGUAGAGUGAUCGAAAGAUGAAAAGCACUUUGGAAAGAGAGUCAAACAGUACGUGAAAUUGUUGAAA